GCGGUUUCUCCAUGUUGGUCAGGCUGGGCUCGAACUCCCGACCUCAGAUGAUCCGCCCGCCUCGGCCUCCCAAAGUGCUGGGAUUACAGGCGUGAGCCACCCCGUCCGGCCCUAGUGUUCGUUUUUUAAUUACACCACAAAGAAUUAUAAGGCAGAGAGAGCAUGACAGGCAAAGCAAAAAUCAAACUAAAACCUCUACUAUAGUGACCUGUAAAAAUUCCAGUUUGUAUUACUGUUUAUCACAGAAUUACCAGGAAAUCCUAGAAAUAAUUUCUUCAUAUAACCAAAUCAGUCAUACACAUUGUCUUCGAAACAAUGUUUUUCCAAGAUCGAUGAGGUCUUUUGAGUGUAUAUAGAUGUGAAAGAAACAAGUCCUUUACUACUAUUCUAACACCUGGUAUUACACGGUUUAACAUGGAAGCCAAGUUUCCCCAUGAUCUUAUUCUUCGUUUCUUCGGGGCUUUAUUCUAUGCAAUGGAGAGUAACUGAAAAUUAAGAGCAACCAGACUUCUUAGCUGAAAACCACAUUUGAUAUUUUCUGCCCACAUUUGCCUGUUACUCAAUAUUACACCCAUAUGAUCAUUACAAGACCUGAAUACACUCUGGACAUGGCAAAAGUAUAUCGGCCCCUUCGCAUGCCUGCAACAAUACUUUUAAAAACCUAAUAAAGUGAUUUGCAAAUACCCAGAAGUGGGAUCACCAGUGAGAUACGGGCUAAGUUCAGAAAGGUCCCUGAAACCACCUUUACAGAUGUAUAAGUAAUGCGAGAAAUCUAACAUGACUGACUCCAUCUUGCUUCUAACCUCACGGGCUAAGUUUUCACCGUGUUGUCGUUUUCUUAUUCUAGCACAGAGGCUAGGAUAACUGGGAGAGGGAUUUCGUGUAAACUUCAAGACAAGGGAAACUGACCCCACCCCUUCCUGGGAACCAACGAAGCCGCCCCGAGUUUCAGAAGCUCUUGUGAUUUCAUCCCCAGCCGGUCAACUGUUUCAGUUCCCCAGCCCCCCGAAGCCAAAAUGCCCUUUAAAACCCUCGCCCCCGAAUUCUCGGGGAGACAGGUCUGAGACCCUGUUCUGGUUUGGCCAGCCCUGCGCUUAUUAACUUCUUUUUUUGCUGCAACAGCGGUUCUCACUGGUUCUUUCCGGGCAGCGAGCGAGAAGAAUCCGUUGAGCCGGGGCCGGCGCCCGCGGGGCAACUGCACCGCGGGGGAGCCCAGUCGCCCCGCUCACCCGUGAGGGCCCUUUCUCCUGGAAAAGCCGCUCCGCCCUGCUGACCCCCACGGCACCGCGCGCCCAGACCCCAAGGCGGGUCUUGCUAUGUUGCCAAGACUGGUUUUGAGCUCCCGGGCUCAAGCGAUCCGCCCACCUCAGCCUCCUGAGUGGCUGGGACUACAGGAAAACCACCAUGCACACUGACGCCUUGAUUUUAACCCAGUGAGCUGUAUUUCUGAACUUCAGAACUGUAAGGUAAUAAAUUCGUGUCGUUU
rnacentral:lncRNA from 1 species